rnacentral:lncRNA from 1 species
GAGAAUCCAGAGUUUGUGUCUCUUUGCAGAGCUCAGAACAGCCUGUAUGUUCUCCUCUCCCUGUUGUGUGCCUGGCGCUUCCCCAGUGAGAUAUCUCCUGCAAAAGCUUUUCCUGUAAGGGGUGGGGAGCUUUUGUUCUCUGGGAAAUAUGGUGAAGCUAAUUAGGAGCAUUGUCCUGUGAGGGGGGAAGGCGGAGGGCUUUCUGAGACCGUGGUUUCCACCAGUUCUCAGCAGAUCAAGCAAAGCUCAAGGAAGACAUCUGAAACUACCCUAUCAAGAGUACCUCCCUCCACCCACUACUUGUUUUUUUUUUGUUUUUUUUUUUUUUUGAGACAGAGUCUCACUCUGUCGCCCAGGCUGGAGGUGCCCUGGCACAAUCUCAGCUCACUUAAUCUCUGCCUCCCAGGUUCAAGUGAUUCUCCUGCCUCGGUCUCCCAAGCAGCUGGGACUACAGGCGCAUGCCACUACGCCCGGCUAACUUUAUUGUAUUUUUACAAUAAAGUUAUAUUGUAAGCUGAGGCGGGCCUGCCUCAGCCUCCCAAAGUGUUGGGAUUACAGGCAUGAGCUACCGCCCCCGACCUGUUCUUUAUUAACUCACCAUGUUGACUUUCUUCAUAGAACUUACCACUAUAUGUAACUUCCUAUUUCCUUCCUAUUGACCAUGUUUCCCUCUAGAAUAUAAGCUCCACAAGAGCAGAGAGUUCAACUCUUUUCUUCUCCAUUAGUCCUCAGGGUUUACCAUAAUGCCUGACCCACAGUAGGCUCUUAACAAAUAUUUGCCGGAAGGAAUGAAUUCAGGUAUUUGCAAAAGAGGGUAUUUCUGGGAUUCUAAAAGUUUAGGCACCAUCAAUAUUUGCUGUUGUUCAGAAGUAUUCCAUUCAGAUUGGCCACAUAUACACGUAUAAAAUACAUGUAUUAUUUAAAAGGAAUGAGCUGAGAAUAUUUUGAGGCCCAGUUCAGACAUAAUUCUUAAAAACUACUAUUUUGUUUGAUUGUCCCAACCUGAACACUGGGGUGACAAUCUAUGUUGCUUAGUAUCACCUCAUUUGGGCACCAAUCAUUAGCUAUAACUAAAAGUGUUUUGUUUUGGUUUGUUUUGUUUAGAGAUGGAGUCUUGCUCUGUCACCCAGGCUGCAGUGCAGCAGUGCCAUCAUAGCUUACUGCAGCCUCAACCUCCUGGGCUCAAGUGAUCCUCCUGCCUCAGCCUCCCAAGUAGCUAGGACUACAGGUAUGUGCCACCAUGCUCAGCUGAUUUUUAUUUUUGUAGAGACAGGAGUCUCAACAUGUUGCACAGGCUAGUUUCAAACUCCUGGGUUUAAGCAAUUCUCCCACCUUGGCUUCCCAAAGUGCUAAGAUUACAAGUAUAUGCCACUGUGCCUGGACUUAAAGUGUUAAGAUCUUAUGACAAAACAAAAUAUUUAGAUGAGAAGAAAUAAUCACAUGGAUUAAAAUGAUCAAUGUUGAUUUUAUUAAAUAGUUAGCUGAAACAUAAAUAUAUACACACUCUAAAUAGAAAUGUAGUGGGAAAUAGAAAUUAUGAUUUUGCAAACUGGUACAUGAGUUCUUUUUAGGUAAGUAAUUGUCUUUAUUUAGAAUAAUAUAUUGAGAGAUGCCUAAGGGGUGGUAGGUGAGGCUCUGUAUAGGUUGGGGGAAAAAACAAUAGAAAGAUCACAAAAUCAUAUUCUGCAGAGCCAAGAGCAGAAAAAAAAAUCACAAAAUCAUUCUGUAUAAGCAAUUAUUGGGAGGUAUGGGAAGAAGAGAGAAGUGGUAAGGCAGGAGGCAGAGUGGGAGAGGAGGCUGAGCAAAAUGUCAGGAAGCUUACAUUUGGGUUGGUGGAAAUAGAACAAGGAAAUCAAGUUUUCAGUUUUAAAUUGGCUGCUAAAGAGUAUUGCAUAUUUGCCAUGUAGCCUCCCUAUAUGGCAAACAUUAUCUUUGAAUUGCCAGGAACAGUCUACCACACACAGCUGCCUCUCAUGAAUUUGGGAUGGGAAAUCAAAGAGGAGGAGCUGUAACCCAUUCUUGGGUCAGUGCCAAAAGAAGAUAAAGGAACAGCUGCAAGAUACUGCAGAGUGAAGAAUGGUAAUUCAGCAGAAGCCAGAAAUCAAACCCAGAGGUACCAAGAGAAUGGGAAGCCCAGAAAAAUCUCAGGGAGUUUGGGAGAGAAUCGACUUCCCGUAAGACCUGGGAUGAGGUUUCCAGGUGAGUUUAUUAAACUGCAAGGUGGUAUUUGACUUCACAAAUAAUCUAAGAGCCACUGACAAUAGGAUUCUGCUGACAAAUAUUAAUCACUCCUCACCAUAGUAUCAGUGAAAACUCUCGUUAGAGAUGAUAGGUGCAACAGACAAUGUCUAUGUCCUCUCCCUGACAAAUUCGUAUGUCAUCCCCCAAUGCUAUGGUAUUAGAUGGUAGUGUCUUUGGGAGUUAAUUAGGUCAUGAGGGUGGUGCCCUAAUGAGUGGAAUUAGUGCCCCUAUAAAAAGAACCCCAGAAGCUUCCUUGCCCUCUUUCUGCCAUGUGAGGAUUCAAUGAGAAGACAGUAGUCUGCAAUCCAGAAGAGGACCCUCACCAGAAUGCAACCUUGCCAGCAUGCUGAUGUAGGAUUUCCAGCCUUCCAAACUGUGAGAAAUAAAUUUCUCAUUUGUGUAUAAGCCAUCGAGUCUGUGGUGCUUUGUCAUACCAGCCCCAAAUGACUAAAACAAUAGGUGGUGUGUGUUUUGAUUUUGAUCCUCUCCUUUGAUCAUUCUAUCCUGCUUUAUUUGUUUCUGUUUUCCCCUGUGGUUCCAUACUCCAACGUAGACCAUACUGGCCACAGUGAUAGAUCACUGUUUUUUAUUAUUUUUAGAGUUGAUUAGCCAGAACAAUAAAAAUUAAAUUUAUCAAAUCUAUGUAGUAUGAGCAGGCUAGUGAAAACCAAAAUUUAAAUAAUAGAAAAACCAAAAGUUUUCUGCAAAGAGCAUAUCCAAUUCAGCUAAAUCACUUAUUCAUUGAAUUCAACAAAUACUCUGCCAAAUACUCUGCUAGGUUCUGGAACUUUGACUAUGAAAAAACCCAGUUGUUCCUCUCCAUGAGUUCACAGUUCAGUGGGGAUACAAAAGCAAAUACUUAUGAUACAAUGUAGGAAUACAAUGUAGGAAGUGCAAAAUAUAAAAAGAAUCAUGGCUUUUAUGAGAUCACUGAAGAGAGAGGCACUUAGUGAAGUCUUUGGAAGAGAUCAGAGUUAGGAGUGACUUUUUUUGUUUUUGUUUUUGUUUUUUCUUGAGACAGGGUCUUGCUCUAUUGCCCAGGCUAAAGUCCAGGCUGAAAUAAAGUGGUGCAAUCAUAGCUCACUGUAACCCUGAACUCUCGGGUUCAAGCGAUCCUCCUGUCUCAUUCCUCGCAAAGCACUGGGAUUACAGAUGUGAGCCACCGUGCCCAUCCAGGAAUGGCCUUUUUAAUAAGCUGACAGCUGAGUUGGAUCUUUAAGGAUAUGAAGAAUUAGUCAAGACAGAUUCUUGAUGGGAAGGAAACUGGAUUGAGGUUAGAUGUAGGAGAGGGAAAUAGAAGCAGAUGUGGCUUCCAGAAGGAACAGCAUAGGCAAAGACAUAGAAGGGGAAAAGUGCAAAGACUACAUAGGAAACUACAAGUUUUGAUUUGCUGGAAACAGUUAUAAAUGUGCUACAGAAAGGGGUAAAAGGUAGAUGGUGGUGACUCUUGAGUAUUAUCUCUAAAACGUGUAGACCAUCUUGUCUGUGAUGUGGAAAGGCUAACGGGUUUUGAGGCAGAAAAGUGGAAGGGCAAGAGUAGAGUUUUAACUAAAUUGCUUCAGUGUUUAGAGAGAGAACAGUUAGAAAGGGGUUGUAGUUGCACCUGUUGUUAUAUCUGUAUUUAAGGUAGACAAAACAAAGGAAAUUUGUUAGCAAAUUGUUCUAGACCAGGUGAAAGACGAAGAGAGGCCUUUCUGAGGUGUGGAUGGUGAAGAUGGAGAAGUGGGAACAGGUCAAGCAAUAUUUAGGAAGUUAAACUCUCAGGGCAUGGUAACCGAUUAGAUUUCAGAGAUGAAGGAGAGACACUACCAAACAACUCUCUUUCAGAUGACAAGUAUGGAUAAUGGGGUCAUGAGCUAAGAUUGUGUCAACAGGAGGUAAAACUUUUUUAAUGGAGAAGAUGAUAAAUUUCAUUCUAAACGUGAAGUUCUGGGUGCCUUUGGGACAGCCAGAAUGAGCCAGAAAAUACUAGAACUGAGGGGAGAGGUCUGAAAGUACAGCACCGGAAUUCAUCUCUGUACAGGUGGUAGUUGAAACAUUGAAGAUGCCUCGGAUCACUUAAGGAACAUCUGUAGAGUGAUAGAUAAGGGAGAGUCCAGGGAGAAGAUGAGCCCACAAGGAAGGUAGAGAAGAAAUAAUCAGAGAUGUAUAAGAAAAGGAGAGUGGUGUAUUAAAAUAAAGAAUGCAAUUUAAGAAGGAAGUGAUCAAUUGUGUCAAAUGAUUACAACAGGUGUUGUAACAUAGGGCUUAGAGGAAAAUAAAUAUAUUCACUUAGAUGUCAAUUUAUUCACUUAGAUGUCAUUUUGAGAGCUGUUGUCAUAGAGUUGUAAGGAGCUGAAGAAUGAGUAGGGAGGCAACUCCCUUGAAUAUCAAAAGAGGAUAUUCAAACCAAACAAGGGCAGGACCAGAACAGAAAGUUACUGACUUGUCUCACAUAUAAAUAUAGAUAUACAAAAACUAAACACAAUAUUUGAAGUUCAUUGAAAAUACAGUAUAAUCAAGGGGUGUUAAUCCCAGAAGUGAAUGAUACUUUAUUUUUUGAAAUCUAUUAGUAUAAUUCACUAUCAUAUC